GUCGCACGGUGCCGCCCUGGCAUCUAAUCAGGGAGCCAGAUGAAGGCAGCAAUCUGUCUCCUUAAAAUAUGCAGAUUUGAUUCGAUUUAUUUAAUUUUUUUUUCCCCUUCCAGUGCUGCAGAACCGUGUUGGAAGGCGCUCGUCGAGAGGCUGCGCCAGGAGCAAUCGCGAGGGACGGAACGAGCGCUUCCCUCGUUAGCAGCGUUUAAUUGCCGGGAGCCGGGGCGCUCCUCGGCGCCCGCCGCGGGAUUUGGGAUGGGCCUGAGGGCCUCCCCACCUUCCACAUGGGAUUGUUCCUCACCUUCCAAAUAAAAUCCAUCCCCACCUUCCACAGGGGAUUGCUCCUCACCUUCCAAAUAAAAUCCAUCCNCCUUCCACAUGGGAUUGUUCCUCACCUUCCAAAUAAAAUCCAUCCCCACCUUCCACAGGGGAUUGCUCCUCACCUUCCAAAUAAAAUCCAUCCCCCAUCUUCUACGCAGAAUUGCUGCUCACCUUCCACAUGGGAUUGUUUCUCACCUUCCAAAUAAAAUCCAUCCCCACCUUCCACAGGGGACUGCUCCUCACCUUCCAAAUAAAAUCCAUCCCCACCUUCCACAGGGGAUUGCUCCUCACCUUCCACAUGGGAUUGCUCCUCACCCUCCACCCUGGAGCUUUCCUCACCUUCCACCCUGGAGCUUUCCUCAACUUCCACAUGGGAUUGUUCCUCACCUUCCAAAUAAAAUCCAUCCCCAUCUUCCACGUGGGAUUGCUCCUCAUGCUCCACACUGGAGCUUUCCUCAACUUCCACAUGGGAUUGCUCCUCACCUUUCACAUAAAAUCCAUCCCCAUCUUCCACGUGGGAUUGCUCCUCACCUUCCACAUUGGAGCUUUCCUCACCUUCCACACCAGACUCUUCCUCACUUCCAGAAGGAUCAUUCCCAACUUUCCAUGCCAGAACAUUCCUCACAUUCUACAACCAUUCCCAACCUUCCACACCAGACCCUUCCUCACCUUCCACACCAGAUCACUCCUCACCUUCCAGAAUGAUCAUUCCCCACCUUCCACACCAGAACAUUCUUCACAUUGUACAAAAACCAUCCCAACCUUCCACACCACAAAAUUCCUCAGCUUCUACAACCAUUCCCAACCUUCCACACCAGAACAUUCCUCACCUUCCAGAAUGAUCAUUCCCAACUUUCCACACCAGAUCAUUCCUCACCUUCUACAACCACUCCCAACUUUCCACACCA
rnacentral:lncRNA from 1 species